GAAUAAGGAGAGGAGAAGGGACCAGUGGAGAAGAUUGAACCUAGGUCCUCUGGAAGAGCUGCCAGUGGCUUUUAAACACCGAACCAUCUCCCUAGCCCUGAAGAAGACUGACUUUUUAAUGGGUUCAUUUAAGCAGUGUAUAACCUGAUCAUGAUAGCAUAUGCCUGUGAUCCUAGCAGGAAGAUUUGAUAUUCGAGGUCAUCCUCAGCUACAGAAUGAGUUCAAGGACAGCCUGAGCUACAUGAUACCCUGCCUCAAAAACAAAUAAGGCUGAGCUAGAUGCUGUCCUGGAAGUCUCUGUGCUGCUGUCUGCUUCCACCAGAACCCUGUGAGCAACCUCCGUGCCUGGAUCAGGACCUGCAGGCAGGAGUCGUGAUCCACUUCUAAUUCCAGUGCGCUGGAGGCAUUAACAGGAUCCCCUGGAGCAAGAUGACUACCUAGGCUAGCUGAAGGGUUCACGUGAGAGAUCCUGCCUUGACACUUAAGGUGACGAAUGACUGAGGACAACACCUAGAGUCAGCUUCUGGCUUCCUCAUGUGUGUACUCCCCCAGACGUGCACCUGCACACACCAGAGCACCAAUAUGCAUGCAUAUACACACCACAGGUGUACAUGGACACCCUGACAUCAGAUGGAGGCAGGCCUCUUUGAAAACAUUUCCUCCAAGGCACGGACUUGGAAAUUUACCUCCCGAGAUCAGUAAUGAGUUGGAGAAGCAUGUAGUGGUCUCUGCUCGUUCCUUAUCAAGAGGCAAAAGGUGUCUCCUUGUUCUCAGCAAGGUCUUGAGAGGCAGGUCUGCCGCUGUCACCUGGGAUUCCGCAUCUGCAUAUGACUUCCCUCGGUUUGGUCUGGGGGUGCAAGGUCCUGGAGCUGGUAUAUUCUUGGGAGACUCUGCUUAAAUGAAUGACAGAUCAACCCUAGGCACCUUCUCUGGCUGUGACAUCGGGACUGGCAAUGGAAUGACAAGGUUAUGAGAAUGGACAUGGACCUCACACAGUGUCUUUAAAGCACUUCCGCACUGGAUGCUACCAAGUCACUCCGCUGGUCAUUUACAAAUGCCAGAGCAUUUAUGUGGAACUUCCUCUUUAAGAGUCCAGACAUUUGAACCCAAAGGUCAAAUUCCAAAAUCUUACCAUCAACGUUGCAGGGAGCCUCAUUUGCAAACCGAGGAGUAGAAGCUGAAAAGUAUACAAUAUGUCUAUGGUAGAUGUGAUGGGAGAUCGGGACAAGCAUGCAGCUUCCUUUUCCGAGGUGUCUGAUGCCCAUGGGUUGGAAUAACAGAAAUGCCUGCGGGACAGCUUUGGCUUUGAGAUUAAAUUUAAUCUUGCACGGAGAUUACGUCGCACGAUGUGCCAACAACAUUGGUGUGAUUCUGUUUACCAGAUUCCAGAAGAAUGUGUUGAUUCAGCAAAAUUGAUCUUCCAGUCCAGUCACUAUCAUUUAGCCAAAACGGCAUGUUGGAGGCUCCAGUCUCUCUGUCUCUCAUGGGCUCUCUUGGUGGCAUGCCCUGCCCAGCUCAUGAUCUUACACCUGACAGACUAUGUCUAUCCCCCAGAGCUGAUUGGUUUUUUGUUUUGUUUUGUUUUUCAAGACAGGGUUUCUCUGUAUUGUUUUGGAGGCUGUCUUGGAAUUCGCUUUGUAGACCAGGGGGGCCUUGAACUCACAGAGAUCCACCUGCCUCUGCCUCUCCCCAAGUGCUGGGAUUAAAGGCGUGUACCACCAACGCCCGGCUGUUUUUUCUUUAUAGAGAUGGAAUGGAUAAGCAUAAUAAAGACUUGCUGUCAUGAAUGCACUCAUGUGCACGUGUGUGUGUGUGUGUGUGUGUGUGUGUGUGUGUAUGUGCGUGAGUGCGAGUGCGCGCGCAUUCCUGGUAGUGGAUAUCCAGUGUCCAGCUCCAUCACCCUGUGCCUUAUUCCCUUGAGACAGGGUCUCUUAAUGAACCUGGAACUAGGCCGGCAGGCAGUAAGCCCAGAGAGCCUCCUGCCUCUAUCCCAACACAAAACUGCCGUUGAGAAAGAGCAAGAUGUCCCCUCCCCACUUGCCGGGCUUACGAGCUCUCCAGUUGUAAUACCCUUCCAUCAUGCUGUGCACUGCCAGGAAUCACCAAAGGCUGAAUAAAUGAGGCAGUCUAGCCUUGGACUUUCAGCAUCCAAAACUGUGAGUUCAACGUGUCUGUCUGUGUUCUUCCAGCUUUAGGUAUUUUAUAAUAACCGAACUGCAUCCCCAGUUGUUGUGUAUAGCCAUGUUGUCUUCAAGUGUCUUUCUUUUAUUCUUUCUGUGUGCUUUAAGGAUUUGGGAAACAGACUUGGAAGUUCAUCAAUAAAAAUCUCAGGUUUCAA